rnacentral:rRNA from 1 species
UACGAAGGGGGGCUAGCGUUGCUCGGAAUCACUGGGCGUAAAGCGCACGUAGGCGGAUUGUUAAGUCAGGGGUGAAAUCCUGGAGCUCAACUCCAGAACUGCCUUUGAUACUGGCGAUCUCGAGUCCGGGAGAGGUGAGUGGAACUGCGAGUGUAGAGGUGAAAAUUCGUAGAUAUUCGCAAAGAACACCAGUGGCGAAGGCGGCUCACUGGCCCGGUACUGACGCUGAGGUGCGAAAAGCG